AUGCAGUGCGGUCAAGACCAGUCAUGCUUUGACCGAACCCAGAGACAGCUUAAACCUACUCUCUGCCGUGUGUGUGUGUGUGUGUGUGUGUGUGUGUGUGUGUGGAUGUGUGCGAGUACGGAUGUGCGUGUGCGUGUGCGUGUGCGUGUGCAGCUCUCGCCGUCUCGCCCUCCAGCCUGCAGGGCGGCACAAUUCGCUGCGCCUCCGGGAGGGUCGCGGCGCUGGUCUCGCGGGGGGACGCGGACGGGACGCGGAGGCCUGAGCGCCCGGUGCCCGCGGGGGGCAGAGGAGGAGGCGCGACCUCCCGGCCUCCCGGCCUCCAGGUCGCUCUGGCGCCGCCCGGGGCGCUCGGCGGGCGUUGCCCUGCGGUGGACGAGGGCCCGGGGAGGCAGCCCCGGCGGAGCCAGCCCGAGGCGCGGCCAGCGAGCUGCGGCCUCCCGGGACCGGGGCCGGCGUCCCCCAGGAGGGGCAGAGGCGCGAGGCCCGAGCGGAGGCGCUUCGCCGUGUGACGCCGCCUCGCGACCCCGGGGCGCAGCCGUGGGCCGUCGCGCGCCUCUCGUGCCUCAGCGCCUCCGCGUGUCCGUGAUCCCGGCGUCUCCCCUCGGGCCGCUCCAGGGUCUGAGUGGGCGGACGCGGACGCGGAGACUGCAAAGCCGCUGGCGCCCCGCCCCGGGCCUGGGAGUGCUGCGGGCGGGGCCUGGUCACCAUGAAGGGCUGUCCUGGGAGGGACUCGCCGGGCCACCUGGCUGUGCCGCCCCGCCCCCCCCGCCCCCCCGCACCGCCCCGCCCCGCCCCGCCCCGCCCCCCCCGCCCCGCUCCGCCCCGCCCCCCCCCGCCCCGCCCCGCUCCGCCCCGCCCCGCACAGCCCCGUCCCGCACAGCCCCGCCCCGCUCCGCCCCGCCCCCCCGCCCCGCACAGCCCCGCCCCGCCCCGCCCCGCCCCGCCCCGCCCCGCCCCGCUCCGCACCGCAGGGCCCGGGGUCGGCCCGCCUCCUCCGCAGGCUUCCUCCGCAGUCCUGUUGCUGCCCGGGGCGAGAGUGGCGGUUGGCGACAAGAGUCGAGAGAGGGCGCCCCGGGGAGCUCAAGGGCCGCGAGGGCUCCGGCCCGACCGCCCAGGUCCCGACCGCCCAGGUCCGGGCCGCUCCACGGUGGGCCCAGCCUCCGCCCAGCCUGCAGCCCGCUGAUGAGCCCGGCCGCCCGCUCCCUCUGGGGGCUCCCCCGGCCCCUCUGCAGGAGCCGCCGCCUCCAGGUGUUCUAG
rnacentral:lncRNA from 1 species